rnacentral:rRNA from 1 species
UAUNUGGCAAUGGGCGCAAGCCUGACCCAGCNACGCCGCGUGAAGGAAGAAGGCUUUCGGGUUUUAAACUUCUUUUCUCAGGGACGAAGAAAGUGACGGUACCUGAGGAAUAAGCCACGGCUAACUACGUGCCAGCACCCGCGGUAAUACGUAGGUGGCAAGCGUUAUCCGAAUUUACUGGGUGUAAAUGGCGUGUAGGCGGGAAAGCAAGUCAGAUGUGAAAACCACGGGCUCAACCUGUGGCCUGCAUUUGAAACUGUUUUUCUUGAGUACUGGAGAGGCAGACGGAAUUCCUAGUGUAGCGGUGAAAUGCGUAGAUAUUAGGAGGAACACCAGUGGCGAAGGCGGUCUGCUGGACAGCAACUGACGCUGAGGCGCGAAAGCGUGGGGAGCAAACAG